rnacentral:tRNA from 1 species
GCGCGGGUGGCGGAAUUGGUAUACGCGUAUGCUUGAGGUGCAUAUGCCGCAAGGCUUGGAGGUUCAAAUCCUCUCCCGCGCACCG